GGUUCGAUGGUGUAGUUGGUUAUCACUUCUGUCUAACACGGUCAUUCUAAAUGCUCCGGAGUUCCACAGGCGGUCCUCAGUUCGAACCUGGGUCGAAUCA